GGUACAGGAGUAGGGGGUGGGACAGUGAGCUCCAUUUCUGGUGGUAGGGUUUGGGGAAGGGGCGGCAGGCGCCAUGUCCGGCCGAGAAGGUGGCAAGAAGAAGCCCCUGAAACAGCCCAAGAAGCAGGCCAAGGAGAUGGACGAGGAAGACAAGGCUUUCAAGCAAAAACAAAAAGAGGAGCAGAAGAAACUAGAGGAACUGAAAGCGAAGGCCGCGGGGAAAGGCCCCCUGGCCACAGGUGGAAUUAAGAAAUCUGGCAAAAAGUAAGCUGUUCCUUGUGCCUGAGGUGAUGGGGACCCUUGAUUCCAUUCUUAUUUGAACAUCUAGAUUCCCUGCCAUAACAUCUUUUGCCACCUAUAGCUAGAAUGAAGUGUUGUCGUGGAGCCUGUUGUACAUUUAAGAAUAAACUUUUGUAAAAAAGAAAGAAAGUAGUCA